UACGGAGGAUCCGAGCGUUAUCCGGAAUCAUUGGGUUUAAAGGGUCCGUAGGCGGGUUAGUAAGUCAGUGGUGAAAUCCGGCAGCUUAACUGUCGAAUUGCCGUUGAUACUGCUAAUCUUGAAUUACUGUGAAGUGGUUAGAAUAUGUAGUGUAGCGGUGAAAUGCUUAGAUAUUACAUGGAAUACCAAUUGCGAAGGCAGAUCACUAACAGUAUAUUGACGCUGAUGGACGAAAGCGUGGGGAGCAAACAGG
rnacentral:rRNA from 1 species